GCGGGAGGACACUCCCCGCGGGCGGGGCGGCGCGUCGCGUACCCAGUUGGUGUGUUCCCCCGGGCGCCCGCCGGGCCCCCGGGACGGACGCUCGGGCUGGGAUCCCGCCGCGUCCUCACGGUCCGCCUGCCUCCCUCCAGCCCCAGCGCUGCCGGCGCCGGGAUCGCGCGCAGGGGCCUUAGAGAAGCCGCCCAGCACGGCCUGUUCCUUGGGCGAGUGCCUUGCCCCUCUUGUCUCAGUGCCCCCACCUGGGACCCCAAGACGGGCUGCUGCUGUAAGGCUCAGGGCCGACCCACGGCGAGUCCCGUGGGUCCCAGGCCCGAGUGCGGCGGCCUCCCCGCGGCCCCCGUUUCCUCCCCGCGCUCCGCCCGGGUCUCUCUGAUGGUGCAUGCUGGACGGCACCGUGCAUCCCAGCUCUGCACCUCCCCCCCCCCCCUGCAGCACAAGGCACGGACUUGGACCGUUUGUCGGUAGACUGAGUGCUUGUCGGUGAGGUGCCUUCAGUGACUGUAACCAGGUGCCUGCCACAGCUUUGAUGGUGUGACCCGUGGGCCCUGCCCUCCCCAGGAGCCCCAGGACUCCGCAGACUUCAUCUGCUGGCGGCAAGUGGCCACACACCCUCCACCCUUGGGGCCUCCCCUGUUGCUCAUAUUCGCUGAUACUGUACUUCUAUUCUUCAAUUUCGUCUCUCUCAGCUUUCAUAUAGAAUUUUUCUCUUAGCAGUCUUGUGCGUAUGGUGCUGGGGAUGGAACUCAGGGACUUGCAAUGCUAGGCAAGUGCACUCUUGCUGAGCUACACUUCCAGACCAAACAAUCCCGUUUUUUAAAAAAUAUUUAUUUUUUAGGUGUAGAUGGACACAACACAAUGCCUUUAUUUUCUGUGGUGCUGAGGAUCGAACCCAAGUCCCACCAGUGCUAGCGAGCACUCUACCGCUGAGCCACAAUCCCAGCCCCAUAACUUUAUUUUAUUUAUUUAUUUUUAUGUGGUGCUGAGGAUCGAACCCAGCACCUUGCACUUGUUAGGCCAGUGCUCUACUACUCAGCCACAACCUGAGCCCCUGAACAAUCACAUUUUUUAAAAAAAAUUUUUUUAAGAGAGAGAGAGAGAGAAUUUUAAAAUAUUUAUUGUUUAGUUUUCGGCAGACACAACAUCUUUAUUUGUAUGUGGUGCUGAGGAUUGAACCCAGCGCCGCGCACAUGCCAGGCCAGCGCGCUACCGCUUGAGCCACAUCCCCAGCCCAACAAUCCCAUUUGUAACUUCCAAGAAGUCUUAGUUUUUCCUUGGUGUCCUUGCUUUCCUUUUUGGGAAUAUAGAAAUGGUUCUUGCCUUGUGGCUCAUUGUGGUGAGCCGCUUCUGCCGUUUCUGCAGACUAUGGUCGCCAUUACAAGAUGGCGCUGGCUCCGCUGUGGUCUGUGACAAACAACUCCUUAUUUGGGAGAGUUGGCGCAUGGUUUUUCACCACCCUAUGAGAAAGCUCCACGUGGCAGCUUCGCAUUGGGGCUUGAGAUGCUUUAUUAAGGCUGGGAGGGGCAUCCGAGAGGGAGAAGAAGAAAUAUCAAGGGCCUGAAUAAACUGCUGAAAGAAGAUUCCUGAGUUGCGUCUUCCUUGCGGGCAAGGGGUCGCGACAAGUGGUGCCGAAACCCGGGAACCAGAACUUUCAGCAGUCAGGGGUGGUGCCCCGGUUAGUCCCAGGCUGACCUUAGAAGGGAGAGAGAAGACUCACGGUCAAGCUCCAGCCCUGGGCCAGCCUGGGGCGGGGACCCGCUCCUAGUCAGGACGGGUAAUGAGCUGCAGUCAACUGACACGGAAACUGAGAUUCAAGGAGAUAAAGUGACAUGCUCAAGACCACAGUGAGAACAUGGUACUCUGCUACAGAGGAUCCAGGUGACCAUGGGUGCAAAGGUAAGACUCGGCCCUGGAGAGAAAUGGGUCAGGGUGAGCCACCUGAGAACACCGUACUUGGGCCACCCUCUUGUUUGACAGACAAGGAAAUGAAGCCCAGGGAGGGGAGAAGUCCCAGGGGUAACACAGCACAAUCUGGGUUAGAAUCAAGUCCCUCUGCACUAGAGUGAUAGUUUGGGCACUUGCUGUUCCCUGUUCCUUACUGGGGGCCUGCUCACUUGUCAGAGGGGAGCAAGAAAGGGUAUUAUGAAGGGAGACAGGGCCAGAGAUGUCCAGAGGCAAAGGUGAGUGACAUAAAGCCAGAAGAACCUUGGCCUGUAGUCUCCUCUGCCGGGUACAGGUCCUGGAAAGGUUGAGGGAGGAUCCAGGAAUGUGUGUGUAUGCCUAAGUGUGAGUCAGACCACACAGCACAAGUGAGGCAGGGAGGCAUCUAGAGAGAGACUCACUGUCCCUAAAGAGCCCCUGAAGUGUGGCACUUGGGUGGGCCUAACAGUGGACUGCCCACCCAGCCCUCGCACAGCAAGGCCCAGCAUUUGACAAGACCCACUCCGGAAUGCUAGCUCCUUACCUGCUUCCUAUCACCUUGUUCUUGAACAUGUAGCUAAGGAUCACUGCAUACUUCUUUUUUCUAAUAUUUUUAGUUGUUGAUGGAUUUAAUUUAAUUUCUUUAUAUGUGGUUUUGAGAAUUGAACCCAGUGCCUCACACAUGCCAGACAAGCGUUCUCCGCCAGCCCCAGGAUCACUGAAUAUUUAGGAAGACUUCCAAUGUGGACCCCUGAGACCAACAUAAAUUGAAAAGAGGACCUAAGCCAGGUAUGAGGGUGUGUGCCUUUUCAUUCAGCUGCUUGGGAGACUGAGGCAGGAGCCUCUCUUGAGCCUGCAACCACAUGAGGAACCUGUCAGCUGGACCCAGCUGUGGACUGGAGAGGAUGACAGUAAUGUGAGGAGACGAAAUCACAGGAAUCACUCAAAAAGUAAACAGGGAAACAUAGAAGCCUAGAAGUUCAAGACUAAGCCAGGCAUGAAGGUGCAUGCCUGUAACCCCAGUGGCAGGGGCAGGGGGCUGAGAAAGGAGGAUCACAGGUUGGAGGCCAGCCUCGGCACCUUGGCAAGGGCCUGAGCAAUUUACUGACUUCCUGUCUCAAGAUGAAGGGCUACAGAUUAGCUCAGUGGUGAAGUGCCCCUGGGUUCAGUCUCCAGUAUUGAAAAAAAAAAAAAAAAAGUUGAAGGCUAGUGCUUCCUCACAGUAUGGUGGGGCAGGAGUGUAGGGAAAUUGUGUUUGCCAGCUGAGGCUGUUUUAACAACAUACCAGAUGGGGUGGCUUUGACAAUGGAAAUGUAUUUCCCAGAGUUCUGGGUGCUGGCAAGUCAAAGAUCCAGGUGCUCCCGGGGAGGGUGUUCCUGCCCCCAUGGGUGCCUCCUCCAAUGGCUGAGUGCCUACACAUGAGCUUACACUGUCAUAAGAACACUAAUCAGGACUCCACCCUCUGACUUUAGUUCCCUCCUCCCAUGCCCCACCUCUAGUUACAGCCACAUUGAAGACAGGACUUUACCAUGUGGAUUUGGGACAGGGCACAAUCCUGGUCUGAGCAAAGGCUGCUGAGUGCUAGCAUUCUAAUGGGGAAAGGUGCAUGGUUCUCUAGUGACCUGCCACUGGAUUAGGCCUAUUGCAAGCCCACCUGGAUUCAAGGGGAGAAAGCACCAAAAUCACAGUAUGGGAAGAAACAAGGGAUGGGAGAUAAUUUUACCUUAUUUGUGAUUCUAGGAAUUGAACCUAGGCCUCACACAUGCUAGGCAGGUGCUCAACCACUGAGCCACACCACCACCAAGGAGGUCAUGUUGAAGUCCUCCUUAGGAAGUACAUCCUAGCAGGCUCCAUAGUGAAUUCUGUCCAGUCACAGCCGUGCAGACACCUCUGAUUUCCAGCGUUUAGAAUCAUUCUGUAGACAGAGGAUGAGUAUUUGGUUUCAGAAAAGAACACAGAGAUUUUCAACCUUAACCAUUUGAAAGGAAGGAGGAGGAGAGAGAGAUGGCAUUUGGUAGGAGGAAAAGAGACAGGGGGCACUGCACCAGUUCUAAGUUCAGCCAAGUCCAGAGCCACCAUGAGUUUUCAGCCACUGAGAACAAGAACAAUGAUGUAGGCAGCUGCCUCUGCCACUGGAGUUUCAUGGGAGGGAGACACAUUUGGACUACUCUGCAGGUAAGAACUUUUGGAACAACAGAUCUUCAUCUUGGAGCACACCUCUAUCUACAGUUGACAAGCCAUGCCUCCUCCUGCAGUGGUCAUGUGUACAGCCUCUCACUAUCUUUGGAAGUAUGACCACUGAGACCUCCCAAAAUAGGAAAGAUAUGGGGGCUCACCCUCCAAGGGCUCUUGUGUGCACUAAUGGAAAUGAUUCCACAUCUAAACUCAACCCAGAGCACCUGCAUGUCCUCAAAAUAAAGAGAGCAUUCUAUAUGUAACCACCAGAGAGAAAACCAGUACUCAGUAGCAGGACCAGAGGGAAAAUCAGCAUUCAGUAACUCACUAGAAGGAAGACCAGCAUUUGGUAACAGGAUGACAUGAGGGGAUGAUCAGCAUUUGGAACUGGGCCACCAGAGGGAAUACCAGCAUCAGGUAACAGGACCAGCAGAGGGGAAGACCAGCAUCUGGAAACAGGACCACCGGAUGGGCAAACCAGCAUUGGGUACUAAGACCAGCAGAGGGAAAGUGCAGCAUCUGGUAACAGGACUACCAGAGGGUAAGACCAGCAUCUGGUAACAGGACCACCACAGAGGAAACCAGCAUUCUGUAACAGGAAUGGGGAAGGUCAUUUGGAGAAAAAGAAAAAAGGAAACCAGCAUUUGGUAACAGCAGAGGGGAAGGUCGUCAUUGCAUAAGAGGACCACCAGAGGGGAGGAUCAUCACUGCAUAACAGGACCACCAGAGGGGAAGGUCAUCAUUACAUAACAGGACCACCAGAGGGGAAGGUCAUCAUUACAUAAGAGGACCACCAGAGGGGAGGAUCAUCAUUGCAUAACAGGACCACCAGAGGGGAAGGUCAUCAUUGCAUAAGAGGACCACCAGAGGGGAAGGUCAUCAUUACAUAACAGGACCACCAGGGGGGGGAGGUCAUCAUUACAUAACAGGACCACCAGGGGGGGAAGGUCAUCAUUACAUAAGAGGACCACCAGAGGGGAGGAUCAUCAUUGCAUAACAGGACCACCAGAGGGGAAGGUCAUCAUUGCAUAAGAGGACCACCAGAGGGGAGGAUCAUCACUGCAUAAGAGGACCACCAGAGGGGAAGGUCAUCAUUGCAUAACAGGACCACCAGAGGGGAAGGUCAUCAUUACAUAAGAGGACCACCAGAGGGGAGGAUCAUCAUUGCAUAACAGGACCACCAGAGGGGAAGGUCAUCAUUACAUAACAGGACCACCAGAGGGGAAGGUCAUCAUUACAUAAGAGGACCACCAGAGGGGAGGAUCAUCAUUGCAUAACAGGACCACCAGAGGGGAAGGUCAUCAUUGCAUAAGAGGACCACCAGGGGGGGAAGGUCAUCAUUACAUAACAGGACCACCAGAGGGGAAGGUCAUCAUUACAUAACAGGACCAUCAGAGGGGAAGGUCAUCAUUACAUAACAGGACCACCAGAGGGGAGGAUCAUCAUUGCAUUACAGGACCACCAGAGGGGAAGUCUAGACUUUGGUAACAGGAAGAGCAGAAGGGAAGUCCAGCAUUUGGUACCAGGACCAGCAGAGGAUAUGUCCAGCACUGGGUACCAGGACUAGCAGAGGAUAUGUCCAGCAUUGGGUAACAGGACCAGCAGAGGGGAAGUCCAGCAUGGGGUAACAGGGCCACCAGAGGGAAGUCCAGCAUGGGGUAACAGGGCCACCAGAGGGAAGUCCAGAAGUGGGUAACAGGACCAGUGGAGGGGAGGACCAGCACCGGGUGACAGGACCAGUAGAGGGGAGGACCAGCACUGGAUGUUAGGACCAGCGGAAGGGAGUCCAGUACCAGGUGACCGGGCCAGUGGAGGGGAGGACCGGCACCUGGUGACAGGACCACAGGAGGGGAGGACCAGCACCGGGUGACAGGACCACAGAAGGGGAGGACCAGCACCGGGUGACAGGACCACAGGAGAGGAACACAGAUUCGCAGGUUACUGGUAAUGUAAUCCAAGGGCACUGUACCACUGAGUUAUACCCCCAGGCCUUCUUUAAAUCUGUAUUUAGAAACGUCGUUACUAAGUUGCUGAGGCUGGCCUUGAACUUGGGAUCCUCCUGUCUCAGCCUCCUGGUGACCAGGAUCACAGGCCUGCACCACCAUGCCUGGCAAAACCAGGUUUUUCAAAGAGGGCAACAAGUUGAUGGCAGAAGUUCUAUCACAAACGAGAACAGAGAACCCUUGGAGUGGUGCCUUUCAUGAGUCACUGUGCAGGGCCUUUGUUCAUCUCUCACUGUGUUGCUUUUUUCUCUUAGUGAAUCACUACCUGCUUUGGUCAUUGGCCCUUUAUGAUGUUGUAGGGCAGGUCACUCAGAAAACACACAAGUCCCAGUUUUGUCCAAUUGAAAAGUCUUUAUUCUGCCCAUCCAGUACUUCUUCCUACAGCCUUGAGCCUCAACAUUUUAGGAUACAUAAAGGCAAAAACUGCAUUCAGAUUGACAUAGCAACUAGCAAGCCAGCAAACAGGAGUAUAGAAGCUGAAUAAAGACAUUAUCGAGACAAUGUAGUGUCCUUCAUCAUGCUUUCGUUCUCAUUCAGUAUCUCUCAUGGGAUUUUCCAUCAUCAUAAUCAAAAGAUAAAUGGAUCAAAGUGCCCCUAGUAAAGUACAAGUUAAAGAGUGGUUAGUAACAUCUAAUCAAUUAUUCCCCAAUUAUUGCCCAAGAAAAAUGGGAGCCAAAGAGAACAAUUUCACAUUGUAUAAGAAUUGCUAUCUUGUGCUGCCAGGCAUGUUAUGCUGGUAACUAUUAAUGGGUACAGAGGAGGACUUCCCGUGGGAGAAGCACUUCUUACAAUGUGGAGGCUGUUUGAUGACUGCCCAGGAGCCUGGCCAUGAGCCUCAGACAGUGGUCUUGGCUACUCUCCUGCCCACAGGCAGCGCACUCCUUGUGCUGUUUCCUUGCUGGGCACCUUUCUGACUUAAUGGAGCUCCACUAGCCUGUGUUGUCGACAGAGCUUUCAGGGUGUUAUCCAAAACAUUGCCCAGGCCAGCACCAAGGAGCUCUGUGACCACUUCUGGGAGUGCUAGGGUUCCAUGUGGGUACCAUGGGGGGCGGGUGCUGAGCGUGCACCCCACUGUUCUCUGUGUGGACGUACAGGUUCCCAGCACCGUACAGGUUCCCAAGCACCGCCCUUCCCUGUCUGAUGCCUCACACCUUUAGCCAAGAUCAGCUAAAACACAGUAUCUGUGCUCUGCAAUUUAUAAGGAAAGUAAACUCAACUUUCAUAGCUCGGGGGCUGGGAGGUCCAGGGCCACAGUGCUGCAUAGACAUCCCCUGCAGAGAAGGUCAUCUUGUGACAGAAGCCUAGAAGAACAGGCAGAGCUCAACAGACCCUGCUCCAUGGAGACCCCCCAUCAGCAGACCCCUUCUCUGUGACAGACCACCCCCUCUGUCAACAGACCCUGCUCCCCAUGACAGACCACUGCUGGGAGCCAUCCGUGAAUUGUGCAUGUGUUGUAGGGACAAACGAGGCAAGGCACCAAAUAUAGCAAGAAACAGUUUUAUUUGGCUGCAGCCAGGUUCAGAGGGCACAGUUUUACUGUAAUCAAUCAAUCCCCUGAACCAGGAGUUCAGAUAGUUUCAGUUUUAUACCCAGCAUGUGAGGGGAGGGGCUCAGAAGUUCACAUAAAAGCAGCUUUUUCUUUCACUGUUCUGGGCAAGUUAACCCUUCAAGGACAACAUCUGAGAAGGAGAGAACUUCUUCUCCCUUUUCUUUCCUCCCCCUGCCAGCUGUUACCAUGGAGCCCAGUUGUAACUUAAAAAUGUAGACAUCUCUGUGAAGCCCAGCUCAAGGCCAGAGGCCUUGUUUGCACAUUUCUUCAAAGUACUAUACUGGAUAUGUUUGUGGAAAACUAGUAAGGGGUGUCCAGCACCUGGAGUGCAGGUCUCUUCUCGGCCAGUGGCCAAGUAAAACAGGGCGAUGUGGGGAGCCAUUCUUGCACAUGAUUGGGCACCUCCCUGAUUGGGUGUGAGGCUUUCUGGCCAAACUGUGUCGGAGCUAACCCCCACCCUCUCCAGGUGCGGGUGUGACUGACCAUUGACCCUGAGACCAAUCACUGACCCUGACCUUGGAAUGCUGCCCCCCUCGACCUUCAUUGGAUGGAAUUUUCCCCUGAAUUUCUUGUUCCCCAAUAAAAGGCCACUCCCUGGCGUGCUCGCUCUCUCUCCUGCUAGUCCUGAGUAAGCCUUGAUGGCCCACCGGGUGGUUCGAGGUGAGAGCUAGAGGGAGGGCCAUCUUGGACCUGGUCAGAGAAAAAGGUAAUUGAGUCUUGUGUGUUUAUUUCGAUCUCACUAGUUAACUUCUAUGCUACGACCCUCUUGUAUAUAACCAGUGUGCUGGUCGCGCGGUGGAAUUGGCGCCUAACGAGGAGGCAUUUUAGUUUAACUAGAUUGAGUGGGAACGUGCUAUAAAGAUAAAAGGAAUUGGUGACAAUUUUGGGUCACAAAAGUACCUGGAGGUACUGAAGGAAUGAGACCCUAAAUUAAUUAAAAUGGGAAAUUCAACUUCUACAGAUAAGGAGAUGUAUCUGACUAUUCUAGACACCAUAAUUAAUCAGAAAGAAAAACAGAUUUAAAAAAACUCAGUUAUUACAAUUCUUAAAGGUUGUAGGCGAAUUUUGCCCUUGGUUUUGUGACCAGGAAUCCCCAAAUUUACUUACUUGGGAGAAACUAGGGAGGAAAUUACAAAAAGUUUGCCUUUCUAAUGAAUUACCUGGAGGUAUAGAAAAUAUACAGAAAACUUGGACGGCUCUGGAAAUUUGUCUUUUUGAAUACAUGGGCCAGAGUUUGUGGUCCCCUGAAGAUCUAUUGAAAGGCAUUCAGAGAGCUAUUAGGUCUAUUCAAAUGGAAAAUCCGCCUGAGAAGUUAAUUUCUUUUCCCUUCAGCUGUUCGGAAGGUUCUUGGGGCUAAACCGAAAGUUAGGAAUGUGACUUUAAACUUGCAGGAACGAGAUCAAGGUAGCCUGCAGGAAGAUUAUAGAGAGGAAGGUCAUAGAGAGGAAACCUCCGCAGUCAUAGAGAGUCUUCUGGAAGAGAUAGACGAUCCUCCUGGAGAGGAAAAUCUGGAAGAAAUUCUUAGAGAGGCACAGAGCCCUUCUCCACCACGUGGCUUAGAAGCCCAAUUUCAAAAUGGCAACAGCGGAGAUUCUUCCCACGAGUCGCAGUCUGAGGGAGAGGAAUCAAACAUUGAAAUUAAGGACUUACGGAGAAAUUUUAACAGACUGUGUUUAACACUGCCUGCCCAGGCUAUUAGAAUUUGGCCAUUAUAUGCUAAAAGGACAAAAUUUAACAGGUACUCUGAAUUAACAAUGACUUUUCUUACCCCGUUCCAGUGAGGUAUUAAGAAGGCACAGGAGGCGGGGGAAAACAUUAGCGGUUUUCAACUUUUCCCAGUUUUUGAACAGGUUAAUGACCAAGACCAAAGAGUUCGAGUUCAUGCUGUAAUCCCAUUUAAGACUAUUAAGGAAUUGAAAAGUGCUUGUGAGACAUAUGGUCCAAAUUCACCUUUUGUACAAAACUUGAUUGAUACCAUAGCCUCACAACCACUUCCACCGAGUGAUUGGAUUUCGUUAGCCAUCUCUUGUUUGCGUGGAGGGGAUUUCUUACUUUGGUGAUCUUAUUGGGCUGAUUUUUGUACUGAACAAGCAGAAAGGAAUAGAAGACAAAAUAUACAGACCCCAGUAGAAAUGUUUUUAGGAACGGGUGAAUUUGCUGAUUUGGAAAGACAGUUAAAUUAUGAAUUUGCAGUGUAUGAUCAGAUCACUAACUGUGCUAAACGUGCCUGGAAACAAAUAGUCUCCAAGGACCAGUCCAAUAUAGUUCUUACCAGAGUCAAACAAGGUGCCAGUGAGCCGUAUUUGGAUUUUGUAGCCCAAUUGUAUCAGACAGCAAAUAGGUCUAUCAGAGACCCAGGAGUGUAUGAGUUUAUUGUUAAGCAAUUGGCAUUUGAAAAUGCGAAUAAAUAUUUAUUGUCAGGAUGUUCUCAGACCGCAUCGUAAAAAGGGAACAGUUUCUGAGUGUAUCUGCUUGUGUUCUGAGAUUGAUUCCACCCAUUUGCAGACAGUAACGUUAGCCGCGGCCUUGAAAGAAACCCUACAACUGCAGGAAUUAGGACGAAAACCCCGUGGAAGAUGCUAUCUCUGCGGGAGAAAUAAUCAUUUUGCGUGAGAAUGCCGCACGCAUAAUUUUACGUUCAGGGCUCCAUCUACUGUUGAUAAGAUAUUGCAGGACUCAACCCCACGUGGCUGAUCAAGAUGGCGCGGAUCAGCCCACCUUCUCGCCGUCAUUUCUUCCUAGCAGGAGAACAAAAAACUUCCGGUCGGCCCCUCCCCAGGCCGAGCAAAAAUACGGGGAAUUGGAGAAGGGGUCGCACAGUGUGACGUCACUGGUGCCGAUCAGGAACAGUCCGCCAUUUUUACCUGAACGUAAAUCACAAACAGUUUCCUUACGACCCUCAAUGACAAUUGAAUUGAAUCCUGAAUCAGGGCCAAAACAAAUCUCUACUGGGAUUUUCGGGCCGCUUCCUGAUAAUACUAUAGGUUUAAUUUGGGGACGUAAUAAUUUAAAAGGAGCCAUUGAGGUAAUACCUGGAGUGAUAGAUUCAAAUUUUAAAGGACAAUUAAAUGUCACUGUAAGGUCCAAUUAUGCCCUAAGGCUUACUCCAAAGGAUGCAUUUGCCCAAUUGAUUUUAUUGCCCUGUGAUUCGGAUAAACACCCGCAAGUAAAUUUAGUUUCUAAACUGCCAGACUGAGUGUACUGGUCUCAGUUAGUGUGACAAGAACGCCCUUUAUUAGAACUUAAAAUUAAUCAUAAAAAGUUCCAGGGAAUUCUCGACACAGGGGCCGACAUUUCUGUCUUUUCUAGUAGAUUCUGGCCUAGGAAUUGGCCCUUACAUGUAGCACCAGCUAACCUAGGGGGAAUUGGACAGAUUUCACAGCCUGCUCAAAGUGCAAAUUAUCUCCGUUGGGAAGAUUCUGAUAGGAACAGUGGAGUUUUAAAACCUUAUGUGUUAGAGUCCUUACCAGCAAACCUAUGGGGAAGGGAUAUUUUAGCAAAAAUGGGAUUGUUAUUAGUUACUCCAAAUUCUAUAAGGUCAGUUGAGGAAGUUAAUCAGAGGUAUUUUCCUGGACAUGAUAAGGAGACCCUUCAGGUAGAGUAUCUGUUUACAAACCAGUCUCCAUGACAAAGAUUAGUAAAUGCUCCAAGCCAAAAUUUUUACUAGGGGCCCUGAGUAUUUCCCCGAUCCCUAAGACAGCUGAAAAAAUCACCUGGCUCACUUAGGAGCCUAUAUGGAUUUCUCAGUGGCCCAUCUCAGAGGAAAAACUUAAAAUAAUUCAUAGGUUAGUUGAGGAACAACUUCAGGCUGGUCAUAUAGAACCAACACUCAGUCCUUGGAACACACCUAUUUUUGUUAUUAAGAAAAAGUUAGGAAAUUGGAGAUUCCUGCAGGAUUUAAGGGCAAUAAAUCAUGCAAUUCGGCCUAUGGGAUCAUUACAGCCAGGACUUCCCUCCCCCACAGCCAUCCCUUUAGACUAUAGCUUGAUGGUAAUAGAUUUAAAAGAUUGUUUUUUCUCUAUAAGGUUACAUCCUGGAGAUUGUGAAAAAUUUGCCUUCACUGUCCCAGCAAUUAAUUUUAAGGAACCUGUUAAAAGAUAUUGCUGGAAAGUACUCCCCCAGGGAAUGCGUAAUAGUCCUACCUUAUGCCAAAAAUAUGUAGAUCAGGCGAUAGCUCCCAUAAGAAAUAGCUUUCCUGACGCGUAUAUUAUUCAUUUUAUGGAUGAUAUAUUAUUGGCUCAUGCUAAUCCAGCGGUACUUUCAGAAAUUUUUACUCAGUUAGAGGCUUCACUUACAGCAAUAAGGCUUCACUUAUGCAUUGAUCCUCGAAAAAUUCAAAAGAUGCCUCCCUUGCAAUAUUUAGGUCAGAUAAUUCAAGGACGUACAAUCCGUCCUCAAAAUCUUCAGAUAAGAGUUAAGGAGUUACAUACCCUUAAUGAUUUUCAAAAGCUAUUAGGAGAUAUUAAUUGGCUGAGGCCUUCCUUAAAACUAACUACUUCUGAGUUAAGUCCUUUAUUUCAGAUAUUACAUGGAAAUCCUUCUCCAACCUCUCCACGUCAGCUGACCUUAGAGGCUAGAACAGCCUUAAAAAGGGUUGAAAAUGCAAUUAAAAAUGCACAACUUACUAGAGUUGAUCCUAAGGAAAUAGUGUAUUUAUUAAUAUUUCCAACUGAGCAUACCCCAACAGGAGCCAUAUGGCAAAGAUUAGGAGUUAUUGAGUGAAUUUAUUUAGCCCACUCCCCUCAAAAAACAUUGAUUCCUUUUCUUGACUCUAUUGCUCAAUUAGUAAUUAAAGGUAGAACUAGGAUUUUACAAUUAAUUGGAUCUGAGCCUGAUAUCAUAAUUAUUCCAUUUUCUGUUCAACAGACUAAUUGGUGUGGGAAGCCAUUCUCACACGUGAUUGGGCACCUCCCGGAUUGGGUGUGAGGCGCUCUGGCCAAACUGUGUUGGAGCUUUCCCCACCCUCUCCUGGUGUGAGAGCCUGUCCAUGUGGGGGUGUGACUGACCACUGACCUUGAGGCCAAUCACUGACACUGACCUUGGAAUGCUGCCCCCUUCGACCUUCAUUGGAUGGAAUUUUCCCCUGAAUUUCUUGUUCCCCAAUAAAAGGCCACUCCCUGGCAUGCUCUCUCUCUCUCUCCUGCUAGCCCUGAGUAAGCCUUGUUGCCCUACCAGGUGGUUUGAGGUGUGAUCCAGAGAGGUGAGAGCCAUCUUGGACCUGGUCAUAGAAAAAGAAGGUGCUUUUCAUCCUAUCUGGGUGCCUGAACGCGCAAUCAGACAUGGAAGAGAUAGAACCGAGAUUCAAGCGACUAAAGAUCGACCCGGAGAAGCCCCCAUCCAAAAGGAAGAGAUAUUGGAAAAAGACAAAGAGAAACCAGAUUGACCCAGCUGAAAAGCUGAUUUCAUGGGAAGAGGAGAAGAAGCUAAUAACACAGGCUUCCCGAAUAAUUCGACUCCUAGGAAAGAACAGGACCCCAGUCUUGGUGGUAGCAACAGUAAUUGCCCUGCUGGGCUGUCAGGUAAAGGGGGAUCAGAUAGACACUUACUGGACAUAUUUCCCAGAUCCACCCCUGGUACGCCCAGCUGUGUGGACUGGAGAAUCUAUCCCAGUGUUUACUAAUGACUCAUUCAUGAUGGGAGUAUUUACAGAUACUCAUAUUACUCCCAAUCAUGUGACUAGAUUUAAUUAUUCUGGCUACAGUGCUCAAUUACCUUUGUGUUGGUCCCACGAUAAACAUGCUGGCUGUCUGAAAGUAUCAUUUGAGGAAAAGACAGCAAUUGGUAGACCUAGACUGACUAAUUAUUCUAUUUAUGGAGACUUAAAACCUUAUACUAGAUCAGUAAUUAAGAUGGGACUUUCCCAUAACAAGCCAGUCAUUUCUGCAAAACCUCCACGGAUAUCCCACUGUCCAAACAGUUCUACAAUUGAUAUUGGCACCUUUCCUAGAUGGAUGGAUUGUGUAAAUACUUUUCCUGUACAACACAAGGUGUCUAAAGAUAGUGUGUAUAUUUUAGAUUGGUCUCCAAAAAUUGAUAAGAGACAAUUAUGAAAAAAUUCUGCUAACGACACCUGCAGGAUUUGUUAGUAAUAUUUUGACUUACAGUGAGGGUGGUAUUCAAAAAGAUGUUUGGCGCUUAAUUGCUGCCUCAGAAUUCUUACAUUUUACAGACAAGCCUUUACCAAAAUUUAUUGGCAAGAACUGUAAGGAGGGAUCUUGCUAUGGCUUACGAGCCUGUGUCCAAUCUCCUUAUGUUUUAAUUAUUGGAAAUGUAAAAGUUAAAUGGAUAGAUGACAGAUAUGUUGUCACAUGUAACAAAUGUAACCUAACCAAUUGUAUUACUAGGUAUAAUGGAGGAAAAGGAGUGCUGGUACUUCAUCAGCCCUCUUUUGUUUUAUUGCCUGCUAAUAUUUCAGAGCCAUGGUACGCUGAUACUGGUUUACAAGUCUUGCAGCAAAUUCAUGCCCAGCUAGCAAGACCUAAACGUGCUAUUGGAGUUAUAAUUGUUGGUGUUUUGGUGUUAGUUUCUUUUAUUGCAUCCACUGUUUCUGCAUCUCUGACAUUGUCUCAAAAUAUUCAGCAUGCAAAAUUUCUUAAUAAUUUAUUUAUUUAUUUUUUUAAAUAUUUAUUUAUUUAUUUUUGUUUUCGGCGGACACAACAUCUUUGUUUGUAUGUGGUGCUGAGGAUCGAACCCGGGCCGCACACAUGCCAGGCGAGUGCGCUACCUCUUGAGCCACAUCCCCAGCCCUUCUUAAUAAUUUAGCUCAAAAUACUUCCAAGGCUCUGGCGUAAUCAAGUAAAUAUUGAUGAAAGGAUUGUGACUAAAUUAAACACCUUAGAGGCGACUUUUAUAGACAUAGGUAAUGAACUUUCAGCUUUAAAAUUUAAAGAAAGGCUUAAAUGCCAUGCAAAUUAUAAAUAUAUGUGUGUGUUACAGCUGCCAAGUACAAUGCUUCUCUCUGGGAUUGGGAGAAGGUUAAAAACCAUUUGUUAGGUAUUUGGCAAAAUAAUAAUAAUAGCUUGGAUCUUUUGGAACUUCAUCACCAUAUCCAAGACAUUCAAAAUAAUAGAGCUGAUUUUUCAGAUCCUUCUUCUUUGGCUAACCAAAUAUUGAAGGAGUUAAAUGGAUUUAACCCUGGAAAUAUUCUUAAACACUCGGCCUGGUACAUUAUUGGAUUGUUCUCCUUGCUGUUAAUUCUCUUUUGUGUUGUAAUUAUAGGAUGGCGAGUCUUCGGAACAAGAAUGCAGAAACUCGAAAGAGUGAACCACUGCCUGAUUUUUAAGAGAAAAAAGGGGGAAUAUGUGGGGAGCCAUUCUCGCACAUGAUUGGGCACCUCCCUGAUUGGGUGUGAGGCGCUCUGGCCAAACUGUGUCGGAGCUAAUCCCCACCCUCUCCUGGUGCGAGAGCCUGUCCGUGUGGGGGUGUGACUGACCAUUGACCCUGAGACCAAUCACUGACCCUGACCUUGGAAUGCUGCCCCCCUCGACCUUCAUUGGAUGGAAUUUUCCCCUGAAUUUCUUGUUCCCCAAUAAAAGGCCACUCCCUGGCAUGCUCGCUCUCUCUCUCUCUCUCUCUCUCUCUCUCUCUCUCUCUCUCUCUCCUGCUAGUCCUGCCUUGCUGGCCCACUGGUUGGUUCAAGGUGAGAGCUAGAGGAAGGGCCGUCUCGGACCUGGUCAAAGAAAAAGGUAAUUGAGUCUUGUGUGUUUAUUUCUAUCUCACUAGUCAACUUCUAUGCUAUGACCCUCUUGUAUGAAACCAGCGUGCUGGUCGCGCGGUGGAGGGCGACACUAAAAUAGGAAGUUUAUCUACAUUGAACUCUUUUGCAGAGACUCUUGUUGACAGUUCUAAAAUCAACCAUGGUGAAGAUUUGUGGAGAAGCCCAAUUAAGACCUUUCUGUGGAGAAAGGGGGUGCCACUACACAUGGACUAAGCCAUUUUGGAGCCAUUGGGCAGGAAAGCCUGGUAUCUGGAACUCCCAGUGGGAAUCCACUGCUCUGAGAAUGCCUGGUUCAUGUGAUGUCCUACCUAGCUCACUGCUCAAGUUCUAGCAUAGCUAGAUAUGAGAGUGGCCCUGGAAUCACAUAGCCUCCUGGAGAUGGGUGUGGCUUGCCAAAAUGCCAAUCAACCUGUUUUCCUGCAAGAUCCCCACCACGCUGAGAGGCAGGCACCAAACAAGACUACCAAGACUCCUCCUGCUGAAACCUCAUCCCUACCUUUGAGGGACUCCCCUUAAACAAAAAAAUUCAGGGCCUUUUUUAAUUGUUUAGCUCCAGCUCCUAUCAGGACUGGGAGAUCCAUGAGGUGCUCCUCUUUUUAUAUCUAAUUUCUGGCUCUGUCUUUAUUUCUUACUGAUUAUUUUGGACUUAUUAUUUUCCCAGGCAGCUCAGACCUCCUGAGAAUGAGCCUACCCUGUUGGGGUCUGGACACCUCAUGAUAGACUGCCCCCUUCGUCCACAGACCCCUGCUCCAGGGCAGACUCUCCAUGGCAGACCCCUUCUCCACGGGCAUCAGUCUGACCUGCUUCCCGUCGUCUCCUAAUGCACCUGCCUCUACUUGACUCUCACCAUGGCCGUGACACUCACCAGCAGUUGUGAAGGAUAAACAUUCAAUCCACCAUGACAGUCUACUGUUGGGUUCGUUGCUUGUGGGAGGCCAUCCAUGAAAUUCGUGAGGACCUUCUCUGGCAUGGAAGCCAGGGAGGGAUAGGCCUGGCAUUGGGAACGUCCUGUGGCUCUCCCAUGACAGUGGAUCGCCCACUGAUGUGACCUUCCCUCUGCUCUGCUAGGAAGGUUCCUCAUAGUUGUACUGGAGAUGGGCAUAUCCGUUAGGAACUGAGCAACCCACCUUUAUCCUAUUCUGGUAAAGAACAUUCUAGGGAAGGCCUUUGAUGUUUCCCAGUAUGAAUAGAGCAGGUUGGGCUCCAUCUUUGUUCAGAAGCUCCAUGACUCUGAUCAGCUUGCCCCUCCUGCCCCUGCUUUUGAAACUACUUUCUGUGUUCUCUGUGUGUGUUUCCCUCGCUGUUUUAUUUCUUUUACCUUUUACUUCCCAGCCAGCCCAUUCUCCCCAGGGAAACCCCAGUCCCACUGCCCUCUUGGGACCUGGGCAGGAACUGGUGCCGGGAACAAGAAUCCUCAUUUCGUGGAAUUCAAAGGUAACUAGUGAGUGUUUGUCUCUCUCUCACAGGAAAAGCGCUUGUGAAUUAGCAAUUAGUAUACUAAGAGAAAAAGGAGAGAGAAAAGUUUAUUUAUCAUGGGAUGUUAAGCAUGGGGAACUCUUUGUCUUCAGAAAAAGAAAUUCAUUUUGCAAUUUUGAAGAUGAUAAUAAAACAAAAGGGAAAAGAUAAAGAUCACAGCUCACUCAGUUCUUAAGAAGAUUAGGGAAAUAUGCCCAUGGUUCUGUGAAGGGGAGUCACUUGAUUUACAUAUGAUUGAAAAUGUAGAAAAAAAUAGGGUUGCAGUAGUUUAUAUUCUGCCCAAGAUAUUGGUUGAUGGCCUUCGGGAGACUUACUUACGGGCCACUUACUUAAGGCCUUAGAGAUGCACUUAAAAGUCAGACCUAGUGAACAGGCUUGCUCAGCACCUAGGGCUUCUUCGUCUGCAGGUAGCCUAACACACCUAAGACAGGCAGAAAAGCUAAGGGCAAAGCAAAGUCACAUCUGCUUUUAACUGUGGAAGCCAGAAUACAGCCUGCUGGCACAGCCUGAGCAAAAUUCAUGGUUCACAGCCCCAAAAGGCAGAGAAGCAGCCCAGAUCCAAUUUCAUUAGGAAGAGAGAGGCCCCGGAGAUGGAGAUGGGGAAAGGGCCAGAGCUGGGAGACACAGAAGAGGAUUCUCAGUCAGAGGAAGUGCUUGAAUUAGAAGCAGACCUCCGUCAUUUGCAUUUAAAUGGUCCUGCCCCAACCACUCUCCCUUGGGGAAGACCGAGGCUUACACCCUUGAACCUGUCAGCCACAGACCCUUCCCUACUCCAAUGUGGUGUCAACCACUUGACAGGAGGGAAAAGAUAUCUCAGGAUUUAAACUAUUUGCAAUUUUCAAGCUGAUAGGUGGCCCAAACCAAUGUGUACCAGUUCAUACUGCCAUUUCUUUUAAAACAUUAAAAAAUUAAUAUUUUUUUCAUCAUAUGGCCUGAACUCACCUUUUUCUUCAAAGCCUGAUAGAAUCUAUAUGUAGUGACAUUUUGCUGCCUUAUAACUGGGUCACGCUAGCAAAAGCCCGUCUUUCAGGAGGUGAUUAUUUGCUAUGGCAAUCUAACUGAUGAAUUUUUACUCUGAGCAGGCAGAAGUUAAUAGAAGGCAUGGAAUUAUUAUGGUAGACAUAUCGACUGAGAUGGGAAAAUUUACUGAUUUGGACAACAGUUAAAUUAUGAUUUGCAAGCUUAUAAUCAGAUUAAUGCAUGUGCCAGAAGGGCAUGGAGAGACUUACUAAUAAAGGAGAAAAACCCCUAAAUUUCAGUUAAAUCCAAUUCUCAGGGACCAGAGAAUUGUUUGGGCUUGUGGCACAUUUAUACCAAGCCGCAGAUUGCAUGAUAAGAGAUUCGGAGGACUCUGAGGUAUUAGUUAAACCUCUAGCUUUUUUUUUUUUUUAAUAUUUUUUAGUUGUAGUUGGACACAAUAUUUUAUUUUAUGUGGUGCUGAGGAUCGAACCCAGUGCCCCACACAUGCCAAGCGAGCACGCUACCACUUGAGCCACAUCCCCAGCUCCAAACCUCUAGCUUUUGAAAAUGCUAAUAAAGUUUGCCAAGAAGUGAUUCAAUUGUAUUGUUGAUUAUAUCCACCUUUGUGCCAAUGUCAGGCAGGCACAUCUGCAGGGAUCAGCCAUAGCCACCACAUUAAAACAGGUUCUACGGACUCCAUCAAAGGAGAGCCGUGAUGGAAGGCAGGGUUUUAACUGUGGGAAAACAGGGCCAGAGAUUGCAGGCUUUUGCCCAAAUAGAUGUGCCAGGCUUCUGCCAGAGCCAUGGGGGGGAGGGCAACCUCUAGGCAAGGGAAUGGCAUGCCCAGCAGGUCACCAACAGGCUACCUCCACUGAUGCCAACACUCCACUGAUGCUACCUCCCCUGCCCACAGUGGGGUGUAAGCUCCAGGUCGGGGUCCUUCCCUCUAGCCCAGACUCCUUAUGUGCAGGCUCAACCUCCCGGUUAAUCUGUUCAGGAACCAGGAGUUUGGAGCUCCAUCCAGCUUCAGAAUUCCUACUGACUCCAGAGAUGAGUCCAUAGUUUGUUCCUACAGGAAUUUAUGGGCCACUGCUGCCAGAUACAGUAGGUUCAAUACUGGGAAGAAGCAAUCUAACUCAAAAAGGAACUCAGUCAUCACCAGUGUUCUUGAUGUAAAUUUUAGUGGGGAAAUGAAGA